AACGAACGCUGGCGGCAUGCCUAACACAUGCAAGUCGAACGAGACCUUCGGGUCUAGUGGCGCACGGGUGCGUAACGCGUGGGAACCUGCCCUUAGGUUCGGAAUAACUCCCCGAAAGGGGUGCUAAUACCGGAUAAUGUCUUCGGACCAAAGAUUUAUCGCCUUUGGAUGGGCCCGCGUUGGAUUAGCUAGUUGGUAGGGUAAAAGCCUACCAAGGCGACGAUCCAUAGCUGGUCUGAGAGGAUGAUCAGCCACACUGGGACUGAGACACGGCCCAGACUCCUACGGGAGGCAGCAGUGGGGAAUAUUGGACAAUGGGCGAAAGCCUGAUCCAGCAAUGCCGCGUGAGUGAUGAAGGCCUUAGGGUUGUAAAGCUCUUUUACCCGGGAUGAUAAUGACAGUACCGGGAGAAGAAGCGCCGGCUAACUCCG
rnacentral:rRNA from 1 species